UGCACAUAUGCUAGUAAAGUCCACACACCACACAGAUGUCCCUGUUCAUGUGUAGCUGUGAUGCAACUGUUUACACUGAGCAACUGAUUAAUCGUCAGCAGCGGCUCUGCUCUUCCGGGAUACUGCUCCUGGUCCGGCCCCCUGAUCCUGCUGCUGCCUGGGACGUACGGCGCCUGUUCCCAAACAGGAAGGAGCGCUCAGCGCAGGCGGCCGGGUGGUCUGCAGGCGCAGCAGGAGGAGAGGAUGGCCGGUGUCCUGUGUCUGCCGGAGCCCCUCACGGCCCUGCAGCUGCGGCGGCUGGAGGAGCACAAGUACAGCGUCUCCGGCUGCUCCCUGCUGGAGCCCUACAUGCAGAUCUAUUGGAACUGGCUGGUGACGAAGGUGCCACUAUGGAUGGCACCCAACACUAUCACCAUGGUGGGAUUAGUGAUGAAUGUAGCUACCACCCUCAUCCUCGUCUACUACUGUCCCACGGCCACCGAGGAGGCUCCAGCUUGGGCAUUCCUGCUCUGUGCCUUAGGUCUGUUUGUCUACCAGUCACUGGAUGCUAUUGAUGGAAAACAGGCACGAAGGACAAACAGUAGCUCUCCACUUGGAGAACUAUUUGACCACGGAUGUGACUCUAUAUCUAUAGUGUUUGUUGCAGUGGGGACAAUUGGUGCGGUGAGACUUGGAACCAUGCCCAGCUGGAUGUUCUACUGCUGCUUUGUCAGCAUGUUCAUGUUCUUCUGUGCUCAGUGGCAGACGUAUGUGUCCGGCACACUGAGGUUUGGAGUGAUUGACGUAACAGAACUUCAGCUAUCUGUGACCGUGGUCUUUUUGCUGUCUGCAUUUUGCGGAACAACUUUUUGGGACUAUGAGAUUCCUAUGACUGGACUACCACUAAAAGUCUUUCCUCUUAUUGGGAUCAUAUCGGGAACAAUUUAUUCCUGCAGCAACUAUUUUAGAGUGAUUCUCAGCGGUGGAGUAGGCAAGAAUGGAUCUACUGUAGCCGGAACCAGCGUUCUUUCUCCUGGCCUUCAUAUUGGACUGGUUCUUACACUGGGACUAAUGAUUUACAUUAAGUCAGCAACUGACUUAUUCUACAAACACCCGGCUCUUUACACGUUAACAUUUGGGUUUGUGAGUGCCAAAAUUACUAUCAAGCUUGUGUUGGCUCAUAUGACAAAAAGUGAAAUUUAUGUUCAAGAUACUGCGUUUAUUGGACCAGGACUUUUAUUUCUUAAUCAGUACUUUAAUAGCUUCAUUGAUGAGUACAUUGUUCUAUGGUUAGCUCUCGUUAUUUCAUUAUUUGAAUUGCUGAGAUACUGCAUAGGUGUUUGCCUGCAAAUAGCAACACAUCUGCGAAUAUCGGUCUUCAGAAUCCCUUCUGUCCCAGCUACUGAGCAGGUUCAAAAUCAAAAACAUAAUGACUGACUGCUUAAAUAAAUGGAGGAAAAGUAACCGGGUGGGAGACAAAUAAUCUAUGCUAAUUCAUAUGGUACUAAAGAAACAAUGGAUUGAAUUAAUAAUAAUUUUUGUACAAGUUAUUCCUUCAGGGACCCAUCAGAAUAACAUUGACUGAAGAGACUUUCGAACACUUGCCAUCUCUUGCUGUUGCUGGCAGAAGAAAAAGCAUGAAAUCUGUUACACUAUUUUUAUAUUUAUCUCAUAUUUUCAUAAUAAAGCUUAUAGAGACAGAA